AGAGGGAAGAAUAAGGGGGAAAGGACAGGGAUAGAGGAUAAACUUUGAAUAUACCUUGUUUUGCAGUGUUGAUUUUAGACCCAUGUAAAAAUUUUAAAUAAUUAUAAAAUUAAUUUAAAAUAGAAACCAAUUCCUAAAAUUAAAAAAAAACAACAAAUAAAUUCUAUUAUUUUCAAAACAAAGGUUUUUUUUUCUAAAGAGUUGUCUACAACACGAAAGCUAGACCAAUGAGUUGACACCUGGGCUUCCUCUCAAGGCAACGGCCCAUCUUUUCUUUCGUGGGACUCAGUCUCCCUCUAGCGGAGGCUAGUUUUAUAACUAGUCCCCGAAACCACGAAGGAAACCUUUUGCUCAUUGUCUCCUGCCCCCCAUCCUUAAAUUACGUAAGUCCUCGAGCCACCAGCGGGAGGAUGUGGUAGAAGAUUCUGAGCGAUGGCCGAGCAAAGAGUCAGAGACAGAGUCCGGUGUUGGAAGGAAGUUGGGGGCAUAAGAGACAGGACAGACUCGAGGAGCCUCGAACACGGGGCGGAGGAACUGCAGCUUCCUGUGGUGGAUUCCCAGCGCCCGGGGCCAGAAAGAGGUGUGGUGAUUGUGUCUCCAAAGAGAUCACAUCAGGAUCUCCCAUCCCAUAAGCUCUUUGGCAGUGUGACCCGGGCAUUUACCCUCCACCCCGAUGUGAGGAAGCGGACCUUAUGGAGAGGCCACGUGUAAGUGUUCCUACUGAAAUGCCAGCCAACAGCAAGCACAACCUCCAGGCAUGUGAGUGGGUGACUCCAGGUAAUGCCAGCACCAGCCUGUUAAGUCACCUCUAGGCUCUGUUCUAGCUGAAGUCCCAGAGAUUUUGGAACAGAAACUGUCCCCCUGCUACUCUUUACCAAUUCUUGACCCUGGAGUGGUUUGUUACACAGCAGUAAUCAGAACACACCCUCAAGGUGGCAUCUAGGUUCACGUGGAACUAUCAUGGUAGCAGAGAGGGGAGGCAACGUCAGGUCCCUGUGGCUGGCCUCUGGGACGCUACUGCUCUCAGCCAUGUUGGCCUUGUCCCUGCGGGCCUCCUGCUGACUUGCAGCUGUUUCUGCUGGGCCUUUUGGGGUCUUAUCCUGACAUUAACUAGUUCACUCAUUUUCCUGUAGUUGCAAAGUCUCUGCCCAACGGGCUGAUCUGUCUCGUUCCCUUGUUUACAAAAGACAUUUGUUCUUGUCUAGGUGUCUUCCCUUGGAAGGAGAUAGGAGUUCAGUCUCUUCAGACUCCAUUCUUCUCUUCAUUCCCCCAAAACUCCCACUGUGGCUGGAUUAGCAGGAUAGCCGGGUGUGCUCACUUCCUACUCCUGGGUUUUUAAUGCAUUUCCUCAGAAGCGGGAGGAUCUGAUUCCUUCCAGCACUGGCCCCACUGCAGGCUGUCAUGGGAAUAUUUGGGCAUGUCCCACGAGGGGUGUGGGAAGGGGCAGCAGCAAGCACCGGUGGCACCUCGACCUGUGUCCUGCAGUUUCCCCACUGCCUCACCUUGUGGUCAAAAGGGGCAAUCCGCCUCUUCCACGGCAGGGUAGGGGCUCACAUUCAUUCCCUUGUCUGGCUUGGACCUCACAGCUCCCCUCUCCAGGCACUCCAAGACAAACUGCAGUAUCUGUAGGGCUGAUACCUAGUGAUGCUCCAAUUUAAAAAGGGAUUUGUGGGGGCCCCUGAGUGGCUCAGUCGGUUAAGCAUCUGCCUUUGGCUUGGGUCAUGAUCUCAGGGUCCUGGGAUCAAGUCCCACCAUCGGCUCUGGGUUCAGCGGGGAGUCUGCUUCUCCCUCUCCCUCUGCCUGCCACUCCACCUACUUGUGCGCACUCUAUCAAAUAAAUAAAUAAAAUCUUAAAGAAAAAGAAAAUAUAAAAAGGGAUUUGUGGACAAUCAGUAUGAAUGACCUAGGUUUGGAUCUGGCCCCAUCACUAGAAUGGGACCUCGGGCAUGUCCCUUAACAACUUUAUUUCUUCAUCUGUUGCAUUUUGGUGGUGACUGUCUCCUAAGAUUGUUAAAAUGAUUCAGUGACAUUGUAAACCACUUGCAUUUACAAGGUAAAUGUAAAACAAAAAUGAGUCAUGAUUUUUAAAUGUGCAUUAACAAAUUCAAGACUCUGCAAGGUAUGUAGAGAACUGCUGCACUCUCCUACACCAGACUUUCCCCGUUGUUACGUCCGUAGAAUCCUUUUAAAUAGCACACCUGUAAUUGGGAUCAGAGCGGUUUAGGGUCAGAGACGCAGGAGCC